AUGUGGGGCAUUGACAUGAUUGGAGAAAUCAAACCUACAGCUUCUAAUGGACACCGCUUCAUCUUGGUUGCCAUUGAUUACUUCAUGAAGUGGGUCGAGGCAGCUUCAUUCACUUCUAUCACCAAGAACGUUGUGUCCCGAUUCAUCAAACAGAAUCUUACUUGUCGAUACGGUAUUCCAGAAAGAAUCAUGACAGAUAAUGGUACCAAUCUCAAUAAUACUAUGAUCACUACACUAUGCGCGCAAUUCAAGAUCCAACACCAUAACUCUUCUCCUUACCUCCGAAGAUGA